rnacentral:rRNA from 1 species
GACGAACGCUGGCGGCGUGCUUAACACAUGCAAGUCGAACGGAAAGGCCCUGCUUUUGUGGGGUGCUCGAGUGGCGAACGGGUGAGUAACACGUGAGUAACCUGCCCUUGACUUUGGGAUAACUUCAGGAAACUGGGGCUAAUACCGGCUAGGAGCUCCUGCUGCAUGGUGGGGGUUGGAAAGUUUCGGCGGUUGGGGAUGGACUCGCGGCUUAUCAGCUUGUUGGUGGGGUAGUGGCUUACCAAGGCUUUGACGGGUAGCCGGCCUGAGAGGGUGACCGGCCACCUUGGGACUGAGAUACGGCCCAGACUCCUACGGGAGGCAGCAGUGGGGAAUAUUGCACAAUGGGCGGAAGCCUGAUGCAGCAACGCCGCGUGCGGGAUGACGGCCUUCGGGUUGUAAACCGCUUUCGCCUGUGACGAAGCGUGAGUGACGGUAAUGGGUAAAGAAGCACCGGCUAACUACGUG